CGCCUCCCAAAUGGUAACGGAGGCGUACAAAGGUUUCCUCUGAACGGGUAGAAAUCGUAUCUAGAGUGUAAAGGCAAAAGGAAGCUUGACUGUGAGACCUACAAGUCGAGCAGGGACGAAAGUCGGUCUUAGUGAUCUGACGGUACUGAGUGGAAAGGCCGUCACUCAACGGAUAAAAGUUACUCUAGGGAUAACAGGCUGAUCUC
rnacentral:rRNA from 11 species